rnacentral:misc_RNA from 1 species
AAGUCGUAACAAGGUUUCCGUAGGUGAACCUGCGGAAGGAUCAUUAUCCUUUAGCGUGGUAUUCUAACGAGUACUACAAGCGCAUGCACCUUAUGUGUUGCGUACAAAAGCACAGCGAUGAUGCCUAGUCAUUGUCGCUUACCAAAACCCAUGGCUCGCUUGAGGCAUGGUCGGGUACCUAGACGUGUACGUCCAACGACGUGCUCGUCCAAGCGGUAGAUGCGUGUCUAUCGUGUGGUGUAAAGAUUGUUCUUGCCCUAUAGAACAACGCCCGCCUAGCAAACUUUUAAUUACAAAUUAUUAAUCGCACUAUUAUGUUGUAUGUGUAAAGCACUAUCUUACUAUUAAGAUAAUAACACAAAUACAACCCUAUGCGGUGGAUCAUUUGGCUC